CUAGGAGGUCGGCUCAGAAGCAGCCAUCCUUUAAAGAAAGCGUAACAGCUCACUAGCCGCAGGAUUUAUGCGCCGAAAAUAAUCGAGGCUCAAACAUUUAACCGAAGCUUGGGGUUUUAAUCUUUAGAUUAGAGCGGUAGGGGAGCGUUCUGUGUGCAUUGAAGGUCAGCCGUAAGGACUGGCUGGAGCGAUCAGAAGUGAGAAUGCCGGCAUGAGUAACGAUAUUGAAGUGAGAAUCUUCGACUCCGAAUAUCCAAGGUUUCCGCACCCACGUUCGUCGAGUGCGGGUUAGGCGACCCUAAGGUCAGUCCUGCUUAGCAGGAGUAGCCGAUGGAUUACCGGUUAAUAUUCCGGUCCUGGGUUUGAUUCGUUAUCAACUGGGGAAUGACGGUGCAGGAUAGCAUUUAUCAAGAUGUGAAGUUUUGAUCAAAGCAUCAAGCAAGUCUGGAUUGGAAAAUCCGUUCAGACGACCCUCCCUAACAAGGAAAAUAUGCGAGAUGUGAUAGGGCUUACUAAGCUUCGGCGAGGUAGGCUAAAUGUGAGUUCAGCAUCCCAGAAAAGUUUCGCAGUGAGAAUCAAAUCCAUUCGUACUUAUAACCGACACAGGUGGAUAGGUCGAGCAGACCAAGGAGAGCGAGAUAAACUAGUUUAAGGAACUCAGCAAAACAGCUGGGCGUAAUUUCGAGAGAUGCCCUUCCCGUCGCAAGGCGGGACGCAGCAAAAGUUGUUUCGUCGACUGUUUACCAAAAACACAGGUCUGUGCAAACUCGAAAGAGGAAGUAUACGGGCUGAUACCUGCCCGGUGCUGGAAGGUUACGGAAGCGGGUUUCUCCUUACGGAGAGGCUUGCGACUUAAGCCCCAGUGAACGGCAGCAGUAACUAUAACUGUUCUAAGGUAGCGAAGUACCUUGUCACUUAAUUGGUGACGCGCACGAAAGGUUUAACGAGCGAAACACUGUCUUGAACUAGUACUCGGUGAAAUUGAACGGGCCGUGAAUAUGCGGUCUACUGACGGCAGGACAAAAAGACCCCGUAGAGCUUUACUGUAGCUUGAUACUGGUGCUUUAUUCAGAAUUGUCUAGUAUAGGUGGGAGUUUUGCUACUUGGUAGCAGAACGCCAGUGUAAUACCACUCGUUUUGUAUAGAGUAUCUAACCUAAGGCCAAUGCAAACUUGGUCAGGGACAAUGUCAGGUGGGCAGUUUAACUGGGGAGGUUGCUUGCUAAAGAGUAACGCAAGCGCGCAAAGGUACCCUUAGUCUGGAUGGAAAUCAGACUGUACGUGCAAUAGCAGAUGGGUGCUUGACUGUGAGGCAUACAGGCCGAGCAGGUGCGAAAGCAGGUUAUAGUGAUCCUCGUGCACUUUGUGGAAGGUGCCGGGCUUAUCGGAUAAAAGCUACCUCGGGGAUAACAGAGUCAUCACGCCUAAGCGUCCCUAGCGUCGGCGUGGUUUGCUACAUCGAUGUCGGCUCAUCGCAUCCUGGGGCUGUAGAAGGUCCCAAGGGUUAGUCUGUUCGCCUAUUAAAGCGGUGCGCUAGCUGGGUUCAGACCGUCGUGAGACAGGUCGGCCUCUAUCCGCCGUCAGCGUUAGAUAAUUGAGGAGUUUUGCUCUCAGUACGAGAGGACCAGAGUGAGGGAAUCCCUAGUGUUCCUGUUGUCCCUGUCAAGGGCAGCGCAGGGUAGCUACAUUCCUUAAGGAUAAUCGCUGGAAGCAUCUAAGCGAGAAGCCCCCUCCAAGAUUAAUUAUCUCCAUCAGACACAUAGGAGACUACUAUGUUGAUAGGCAGCCAGUGUAAGUAUUGAGAAAUACUAAGCUUAGCUGUACUAAUUGUCGAUUGAACACAUA
rnacentral:rRNA from 1 species